GACGAACGCUGGCGGCGUGCUUAACACAUGCAAGUCGAACGGAAAGGCCCUGCUUUUGUGGGGUGCUCGAGUGGCGAACGGGUGAGUAACACGUGAGUAACCUGCCCUUGACUUUGGGAUAACUUCAGGAAACUGGGGCUAAUACCGGAUAGGAGCUCCUGCUGCAUGGUGGGGGUUGGAAAGUUUCGGCGGUUGGGGAUGGACUCGCGGCUUAUCAGCUUGUUGGUGGGGUAGUGGCUUACCGAGGCUUUGACGGGUAGCCGGCCUGAGAGGGUGACCGGCCACAUUGGGACUGAGAUACGGCCCAGACUCCUACGGGAGGCAGCAGUGGGGAAUAUUGCACAAUGGGCGGAAGCCUGAUGCAGCAACGCCGCGUGCGGGAUGACGGCCUUCGGGUUGUAAACCGCUUUCGCCUGUGACGAAGCGUGAGUGACGGUAAUGGGUAAAGAAGCACCGGCUAACUACGUGCCAGCAGCCGCGGUGAUACGUAGGGUGCGAGCGUUGUCCGGAUUUAUUGGGCGUAAAGGGCUCGUAGGUGGUUGAUCGCGUCGGAAGUGUAAUCUUGGGGCUUAACCCUGAGCGUGCUUUCGAUACGGGUUGACUUGAGGAAGGUAGGGGAGAAUGGAAUUCCUGGUGGAGCGGUGGAAUGCGCAGAUAUCAGGAGGAACACCAGUGGCGAAGGCGGUUCUCUGGGCCUUUCCUGACGCUGAGGAGCGAAAGCGUGGGGAGCGAACAGGCUUAGAUACCCUGGUAGUCCACGCUGUAAACGGUGGGUACUAGGUGUGGGGUCCAUUCCACGGGUUCCGUGCCGUAGCUAACGCUUUAAGUACCCCGCCUGGGGAGUACGGCCGCAAGGCUAAAACUCAAAGGAAUUGACGGGGCCCCGCACAAGCGGCGGAGCAUGCGGAUUAAUUCGAUGCAACGCGUAGAACCUUACCUGGGUUUGACAUGGAUCGGGAGUGCUCAGAGAUGGGUGUGCCUCUUUUGGGGUCGGUUCACAGGUGGUGCAUGCCUGUCGUCAGCUCGUGUCGUGAGAUGUUGGGUUAAGUCCCGCAACGAGCGCAACCCUUGUUCACUGUUGCCAGCACGUUAUGGUGGGGACUCAGUGGAGACCGCCGGGGUCAACUCGGAGGAAGGUGGGGAUGACGUCAAGUCCUCAUGCCCCUUAUGUCCAGGGCUUCACGCAUGCUACAAUGGCUGGUACAGAGAGUGGCGAGCCUGUGAGGGUGAGCGAAUCUCGGAAAGCCGGUCUCAGUUCGGAUUGGGGUCUGCAACUCGACCUCAUGAAGUCGGAGUCGCUAGUAAUCGCAGAUCAGCAACGCUGCGGUGAAUACGUUCCCGGG
rnacentral:rRNA from 1 species